GACGAACGCUGGCGGCGUGCCUAAUACAUGCAAGUCGAACGCUGAAGAGAGGAGCUUGCCCUUCUUGGAUGAGUUGCGAACGGGUGAGUAACGCGUAGGUAACCUGCCUGGUAGCGGGGGAUAACUAUUGGAAACGAUAGCUAAUACCGCAUAAAAUGGAUUAUCGCAUGAUAAUCCAUUGAAAGGUGCAAAUGCAUCACUACCAGAUGGACCUGCGUUGUAUUAGCUAGUUGGUGGGGUAACGGCUCACCAAGGCGACGAUACAUAGCCGACCUGAGAGGGUGAUCGGCCACACUGGGACUGAGACACGGCCCAGACUCCUACGGGAGGCAGCAGUAGGGAAUCUUCGGCAAUGGACGGAAGUCUGACCGAGCAACGCCGCGUGAGGGAAGAAGGGUUUCGGAUCGUAAAGCUCGGUUGUAAGAGAAGAACGAGUGUGAGAGUGGAAAGUUCACACUGUGACGGUAUCUUACCAGAAAGGGACGGCUAACUACGUG
rnacentral:rRNA from 1 species